GCCGUGAGGUAAAACACGAUUACUUCCAACUGCCUGGCGGAGGACACGCAGUCGCUUGGUUUGCCUGGAACAGCUUGCAGCGCUCUGAUGGCACGCGGAGGGAGAAUAAUUAAAAAGGCCAGCAUCACUUACGAAGGAUUACUGGAAAAGACAGUGAAAUGAUGACAGGAAAACAUCUUGGACCAGAGCCAAAAAAAAAAAAAAAAUCAAGGCAAAUCAAGUCUGCAGCUGGGAGAAAACACCCAUCGGUCCUGUGCGGUCCUUUCGGAAGCUCACACAGGAAUUGCCCAGUGUUCCUCAGCAGAAUAUGGAAUGUGGUGUGGGCACCAGGGGACAGGACCAGGUUCCACCGGAGUGACCCGAGGAAGGAUCCAUGGCAUGCCGGGUGACAGAGUUAUGGCAUACUUUGAGAAAACAGAACAAAACAAAAUUAUAAAAACCAACCCAUCCUUUGCUUUGAAUUGGAGCUCCUGCUUGCUCAAAAUUGCUCAGUCUAUUCAAAGCAACCCUGAAAUGUGCCUUCUGAUAACAGGAGCUGCUGAUUCUCGGUUUGUCUCCAGGAAGCUGUUGCGAUGUUACAGACAUAUGCUGGCCAAAGGAAGUUGAGGAAAUUCAGUUUUCUGUUGAUGGGGCUUUUUUGCAAAAUGUGCCAGGUGACUGUCUUUGCCAUUUGGAAUUCUUCUCCUGUUGUCACCCAGCUGUGGCUUGGUGAGUCCAAAACCAACCAUGAGCAAGACUCUUUUAAGACAGGGUCCAAACACAUAUGACAAAUUGGGGACCCCCAGGAAUAAACUGAGCUGUCUGGUUCCCUUA